GACGUAGGGCGCGAGCGUUGUCCGGAUUUAUUGGGCGUAAAGAGCGUGUAGGCGGUCCGGUAAGUCCGCUGUGAAAGUCGGGGGGCUCAACCCUCGAAUGCCGGUGGAUACUGUCGGGCUAGAGUGCGGAAGAGGCGAGUGGAAUUCCUGGUGUAGCGGUGAAAUGCGCAGAUAUCAGGAGGAACACCUAUUGCGAAGGCAGCUCGCUGGGACGUAACUGACGCUGAGACGCGAAAGCGUGGGGAGCAAACAGG
rnacentral:rRNA from 1 species